GGUUUGAUGUGUGCGGGCAUGUCUGGGACCUGGGCGCGAGGUCGAUGGGAGUGUGGUCCAUAUAUGUCACGUUGUGUCUUGUUCCAGAUGCCGUCAGUGGUUUUCGGGUGGUGCCCAUGUUUGCGUCCUAUAUUGGGGAUAUAUUGGCGCUCUUUUUCUAUAUCGACCCGCUUGGUGGUGUGGGUGAGGGCCCUGGAGGUUGUACUCUUGGACGCAGCUGGCUUGUAUGGCGUGGGAUCCCUGGACCAUGCCGGGAUGGGUGCAGGUGUGUAAGAGGGUUUUCUGUGGAUAGUAGUGGUGUGUUCUCCCAUUUGUGCCUCAACGUUCACAUCCAGAGGGUGGAGUCCAUGGGCAGAG
rnacentral:lncRNA from 1 species